GUAAAGAUGGAGUUGGGAAACAUGGCGCCGGCUUAUAAAGGCUGGGCCGCGCCUGCGCACACAGGCCCAUGUGGCUAUUCCACUCAUGCGCGUAGAUCACAUGGUUGCCCUGCACGCUUUACACAACCACACAAAGCCACGGGGUCCUGGUCACACGAGAUGUUUUGACCCGGAAAUGGCUAGGCGGAGGUGACUCGGUCCACUGGGCAUUCGCCACCAUGCCCAACAGUGGGAUUGUGUUGUGAAUCCAUAUCCUCUUCAACCAGCAGAGGCAAGAGGAAGACUGCUGGAGGUUUUGAACUGUGGAAGAUCAGUGAUGAACUGAAGGAGAGACACACAGAGAAGAUGGGGACUCGAAUUCUUCAGCACCUGAGGGACACAAACACACCAUCCUUCUCACCUGGGCACAUCUCUGCCUUAGUUGAUGGGGCUGAGGAGCCCUCCUGUCAGAGUACAGUGCCGUAGCUGAUGAAGCUCUUGGACUUGCCCAUGUAUCCUUCUUAGGCUCACUUUCCUGAGGAGAAAAUUAAGCCUAGAGGACCAAAACGAUUUGGGGGAACAUCUUGUGUUUACUGCUCACAGCUACCCUAUUUCCAGGUUUGCAACAUCAGUCGUUAAAUUAGAGGAGGAAACCCCGGCAGCUGAAAGAAGACAGGGUACAGGAAGCAAAGUUGUUCCUCCCGUCAGUUCCUGAGAAGGAGCUAUCCCAAGUGGCAGCUGAAACACCACCCGUCACUGGCAUUACUGAGGUCUUCACUUAAGGUAAACUUGAAAACCACCUGGCUUUGCUGGAUGACCUGCAACAUCUAGAACUGUGUCUGCCAUGACCUAGGAAGGACCUGUUAGCUGAGGAGAGCAUAUGAGCUUUCCAGAUUCAUCUCCUCAAGAUUUCUCAGAGCCUAAUGGCCAGAAGUUGAGCACAUACUGACACCCCAAGUCGGUGCUUUCUACGUGUUUCAUGUCAUAACACAACCAGAUCUGGAGCGUAUCUGGACGAGGUAGCUGAUUGCAUCAAGGCAUGGAGCGACUGAACUUCAGCGCUUAGGUUUGCAGAAGUACUCACACAGUGACGGAUGCCUAACAGUUCCCAAAGCAUCUCCCAUCACUAAGAGGUACAAGACGCUGGUCUAAGAUAAAGGGAGGACAAGAGCACAUGUCCACAUACAAGCUCUGGGGAGAGAAAGAGCUGCCACCGGGGAGGAAGAUGUUCGUGGAGGGUGCAGCCAACAAUGUCAAACACGUUUUCCAAAGCACCUGAUCCCUUUCUAACCUGGGAGGAAGCAUUUUGUGGAGGAAGAAACUGAAGUUAAUUUAAACGAUUUAUUUGAGUUUGAAGAGUCAGUAAUGGGUCCCACAUGGUACAGCGGCUGCAGAUCCAGGGAUGUGCUGGCCUAUGCUUACCAAGUGGCCCUCCAAAUGUGGUCCUGACAGGCCUGUUGGCUAAUCUGUUACUGAUAUGAGGGACUUUGUGGUUGAACUGGAUGUUUUUGUAA